rnacentral:rRNA from 1 species
CCGCCUGGGGAGUACGGCCGCAAGGUUAAAACUCAAAUGAAUUGACGGGGGCCCGCACAAGCGGUGGAGCAUGUGGUUUAAUUCGAUGCAACGCGAAGAACCUUACCUGGUCUUGACAUCCACAGAAGAAUCCAGAGAUGGAUUUGUGCCUUCGGGAACUGUGAGACAGGUGCUGCAUGGCUGUCGUCAGCUCGUGUUGUGAAAUGUUGGGUUAAGUCCCGCAACGAGCGCAACCCUUAUCCUUUGUUGCCAGCGAUUAGGUCGGGAACUC